GUACUCGCUUCGGCAGCACAAAUACUAAAAUUGGAAUGAUACAGCAUGGCCCCUGCGCAAGGAUGAUAUGCAAAUUCGUGAAGCAUUCCAUAUUAAA
rnacentral:snRNA from 1 species